rnacentral:tRNA from 1 species
GGGACGUUAGCUCAGUCGGUAGAGCAGCAGGCUUUUAACCUGACGGUCGUGGGAUCGUUCCCCACACGUCCCA